AUACGGAGGGGGCUAGCGUUGUUCGGAAUUACUGGGCGUAAAGCGUACGUAGGCGGACUGAUCAGUUGGGGGUGAAAUCCCAGGGCUUAACCCUGGAACUGCCUUCAAUACUGUCAGUCUUGAAUUUGGGAGAGGUGAGUGGAAUUCCUAGUGUAGAGGUGAAAUUCAUAGAUAUUAGGAGGAACACCAGUGGCGAAGGCGGCUCACUGGCCCAUUACUGACGCUGAGGUACGAAAGCGUGGGGAGCAAACAGGAUUAGAAACCCUAGUAGUCC
rnacentral:rRNA from 1 species